AUUGAAGCCAACCAAUAUCAUAGAAGGUACAUCAACACCACAGAACAAGUUACAACUGCAGUUAAUCGAGAACUCACCAUCAAAUCCUUUUCAAAAUUUAUCCACACGUACUCCACCACCCAUACAGGCUGCAAGGAAGCUAAUAUAUCCACCGCUCAGUAACCCCGUCACAUAUCAACAUACUCCCAAGUCUGAUGGCGAAGAAGAAAUUACAGAGCAAACAAUGAACACCAGUCAAAUCAAAGGAAAAAACAGUAUGCCCUCAUUCGAAUCUCCUCCAAAAAGGUUCAAGAAAGGAAGCUUAGAUAUCCAAAGCAAUGAUGACGAUGUCCAGGAGAA
rnacentral:misc_RNA from 1 species